CCGUCUGGAAAUCUCCCAACCUACGACCGAUUGGCAAGCAGCAAGAAGCAUGAUAACAAACACCUUGUGUCCGAUGUGUGGCACGAGCUCGGAAACAAUAGCACACACUUUCUAUUUUCGUGAUUUUUUCAGGUAGAUUCUGCAGGAGUCUUUAGCGCUCAACGGCGGCCUAAUUCACUUAGCAGCAAAUCCAUAUUUCGAGUAAUUGGCAACAACAAUUGAGAAGCUGACGAAAAGAUCACUGAUUUGUGGCCUCCACUGGACUUGCCUAGCGGUGACUUCAUAUAUGGUUUAUAUGGAAGGAAAGGAAUAAUCGAUACAAGAGGAACAAACAACAAUUAAGAGAAUCAAUCUUAAGCCAAUGUGUCAACCAACACCAAUGACAUUGGAUUUCGGGAGAACAGGUACAUGAAGCUUCUCUAUGUAAAGAGUUAAAAUACUAUAAGGGCUAUCUUAUAAAUGUACCCAUAAUAUGAAGUAUAAAUAUAGGCUUAAUGUGUAAUAAUAUGGUUUAAGUUGAAUGUUACAUUUUGGUGAGUCAAUUAAAGAGUAAAAGAUUCUUGCUUUACUCUUCUUCUUCUAGUUGACCUAACAACUUCCAUCCACCCCCUUUCUUCUAUCUUCUUCUUCUAUCACUUUCUUGUUAAUUGAUGGUUAUAAAGGAAACCUCUCCAGAUUUCUACAUGGUAUCGAGAGCUUCAAUUUUUGCAAUCAAAACUAGGGCACGGCUUCUGUGAUCAAAGGUUGGAGCGGUUUUUUUUUCCGGCUACAGCGCGGCUACAACGCGUGGUUUUUUCUCGCCGAUUGAUUGCAAUCUGCGAUUGCAACUCUGGUUUGAAUUUUAUCUGUUAUUUACAAUUGUUAUUUGCGUGUCUGCAUCUGUCUGAUUCCGUCGAUUUGAGUUUAUCAGUUAUCGUUUUUUUUCCCCCCUUUCUCUGCAAAUUUAUCAGUUAUCUCUCGCGAUCGUUAAUUUCUUAUCGAUCUGCUUGCGAUCUGUUUGCGAUCUGCUUGCGAUUGCGAUCUGCUUCUAAUUUCUAAUUAUGUCCCGAUUUCGAUCUGCUUGCGAUCUAAUUUCUAAUUCUGCUUGCGACCUGCUUGUGACCUGAUUUCGAUCUGCUUGCGAUCUGCUUGCGACCUAAUUUCUAAUUCUGUCCCGAUUGCGAUCUGUUUGCGAUCCUCACUUGCGAUGUUUGAUUUCUGAUUUCUGAUUUCUGAUUUCUGUCAUAGAUCGGUGCUAGUAAUUCGAUGUUUAAUUUCUGUGAUUACGUGUUCAUUAAUUUCAGUUUUCUGUAAUUUUUUGUUUGGAUUUUUGUUCAUUAAUUUCUGUAAUUACGUGUUCAUUGAUUUCAUUAAUUUCAGAUUACGUGUGUG
rnacentral:lncRNA from 1 species